GACGAGGGAUCCUAGCGUUGUUCGGAAUCAUUGGGCGUAAAGCGGGUGUAGGCGGAUUUGUAAGUCAGAUGUGGAAUCCCAGGGCUCAACCCUGGAAGUGCAUUUGAUACUGCAGAUCUUGAAUGUGGUAGAGGUUACUGGAAUUGUUGGUGUAGUGGUGAAAUACGUAGAUAUCAACAGGAAUACCGGAGGCGAAGGCGAGUAACUGGGCCAACAUUGACGCUGAGACCCGAAAGCGUGGGGAUCAAACAGG
rnacentral:rRNA from 1 species